rnacentral:lncRNA from 1 species
CAUAUAUGAACUGUAAAGAUUUAACCAGAAAGAUGCCCAUAACAAUAAUUGCUUUUUCUUUCUCACAGAUGACUCAAGCUAUGAGGCGUCUGGAUCAUCAGUGUCUUCUCUGGACCAGGCCACCCUGGCCACCUCUCCUCAUCGUCCAACUGGCUUACUCAUGACCGAUGAGGAUCCCAUGUCAGUCAUGCAGUCGGAUCCUACCAGUCUGUCAAAGGGAAUCCGACAGGAACCAGCAUUCUCCUCCAUACUGACUCUACUGGCCGACUCAGCUGAAAAACCUCAGACUCCUCUUCAUUCAGGCUCUACUCUGGAAAGCUCAGUCAGGAUUGAUAAUGAAACCAGCCAAUCACCUUCAGAUGGUCCCUUUCAGAGAGCAGAGGCAUCCUUUAAGGCACCCUCUUCCUCUGCGGUGGUGCCCGGUGGCAACCAGUCCUCUGCCUCAGAGGACUCAGCGCUGGAGGACUGGGUUUCAGAGCUGAUGUCCUCUGUGGUUCAGACGUCCAGAGAGACCAGCCUCCGCUCGAAGAGAAAUGAAACUGGUUUGACUCGACAACGAAAGAAAAUCUCUACGUUUUCCAACAAAAACACACUGACACAAACAGAACCCACCACCCAGGAGACCACAGCCACCAGUGCCCCCCAGUUCACCACCGUCACCACCACCACUGUGGCCACCACCACUUCCACAACCACCACUCCCUCUCCAGUGACCACAACCACCCAACCCACCAGCACAACCCAGUUAACCAGCACCAGACCCACUACCACAACCACCACCACCACCACCACCACCUCUACUACUACAACUACAACCACUACUACAGCUAAACCUCCCAGAAUGAUAGCACCUGCCCGUCCCCCUACACGGACCACCACCACCACUACCACCACCACCCAGUCUCCCAGGACCAGUCCUACCAGAGCCACCACCACUACUACCACCACAACUCAGACUCCUCCAAUCAUCUGCAACAUCACUGAGAGAAUGUUGGUCAGAACAGUUUUGUCCAUCCACCUGCGGAGGAGCCGGCUGGACAGCAUCCUGAAGCAGAACCUGCCGAAGGGUCUGACUCUGGCUCUGAGGAAAGCUCUGAACGACAGCUCGGUCCAGGCUCAGGUCAGUUAUUUUAUGAGCAUUAUGUUUUACUCACUGCUCAGCCUGUGUUCUCGUAGGUCUGUGCCUUCCCA